GAAUUUCCAAAAAGUCUUUAACAGAGGGUUAUUUUAUAUGGCUAUGCACUGGACAGAAAAUCUGCCUAUAUGCCCCACUGAUGAAGCAUGGGGAUCUUCUCCGUUGAACAAGGUGAAGUUUGGCACCUUGAAACCCUAGGAUUGAGGUAUUUGAUCAAUAUAAGCUAGAUAUGGCUUUCUGUAAGUGGGUCUCUCUCCUCCUCUGGCUUCAGGCUUCAUCAUCU
rnacentral:lncRNA from 1 species